ACAAGGUGUUAACAUAAGUAACAUGAGGGAUCGAAUCAGGCAAAAUAAAUGCUUAUUAGUGCUCUAGAGCCCAGUUGGUCCAGUACACGGGGAAAAUGGUGGUGAUGAUAUGGCUCACAGGAGCGACUUCAAGAGAAAAGUCGGUUAAAAAGUGCUGAAGUGUCACACAUCGUUGCAUUACGACGAGACCUGCUAUACUACGGCAUUCAUAUUGCAGUAGAUGCUGGACAACUUGCCGACCACACGAAGUGGUGGUCCGAAUAUACAAGUACACAGGCCAUAAAUUCAGGCCCGAGAGAGCCACCCAACUUGUGUGAGUCACCGGUGAAGGUGAAGUCACCAAGCUAAAGCCAUCAGAAAAGCGGAGCACAUUUCAGAAAGUCUCUGAACAUCUGAUGUGGAGCCAGACACCCUGUAGAUGCCAACCUCAUUUAUGCCUCUUCUUUCAACCUCUCGCACGCAGCAGGUUAUUACGAAUGGCACUCUGCUUUUCUCCUUUCUGAAAGUACAAAA